UUAGGAAUCUUCCCCAAUGGGCGAAAGCCUGAGGGAGCGACACUGCGUGAAGGUGACAGCCUUCGGGUUGUAAACUUCUGAACGAGGGACGCGGUACCUCGCUAACAGCACCGGCUAACUCCGUGCCAGCAGCCGCGGUAAUACGGAGGGUGCAAGCGUUAUCCGGAAUCACUGGGCGUAAAGGGCGCGUAGGCGGUUUACUAAGUCCGAUGUGAAAUACCUAGGCUCAACCUGGGAAUGGCAUCUGAUACUGGGAGGCUAGAGUGCAGGAGAGGUAAGUGGAAUUCCUAGUGUAGCGGUGAAAUGCGUAGAUAUUAGGAGGAACACCAGUGGCGAAGGCGACUUACUGGACUGU
rnacentral:rRNA from 1 species